rnacentral:rRNA from 1 species
GAUCAUGGCUCAGGAUGAACGCUAGCUACAGGCUUAACACAUGCAAGUCGAGGGGAAACGAUAUUGGAAGCUUGCUUCCGAUAGGCGUCGACCGGCGCACGGGUGAGUAACACGUAUCCAACCUGCCGAUAACUCGGGGAUAACCCUUCGAAAGAAGGCCUAAUACCCGAUGGCAUAUCCCUUACGCCUGGUGGGGAUAUUAAAGAACUUCGGUUAUCGAUGGGGAUGCGUUCCAUUAGCUUGUUGGCGGGUAACGG